AUGCGUGUAGUUCAAUGGUAGAACCAGUGUUUGCUAAGCACUUAAUGUCGGGUUCGAAUCCCACCACGUGUU
rnacentral:tRNA from 1 species